rnacentral:sRNA from 1 species
CCCUUUUGUGACCCCCCCCCCCCUUUUUCGGUCUUCAGUCAUUGAUUUUAUUUGUCCCCUGGAGAACUCUUCCAUGUGAAGGGGCCCCUUAGGGGGAGCAUGGUUUUAUCACACCUUAAAUUCCAUCGGUGUUUUCUGUUGGGUCUGCUUUCAUUGGAUAUACUUUCGUUUUUCAUCAAAAUAAAAGCUUUCAUGUCAUCCAUGAUAGAAACACCAAUUAGAUCUGAAGAUCUGGUCCAUGUCCAGAGGUGUCUUCUGUGUUCUGUUUAAACCCCCCGCCCACACCCUUAAUUUUCUUCUUUGUGUCUGUGUGUUUGAGUGGUUUGAAUGUGUAUAUAAAUGUACAUAAUUAUAUAGCAGAUAAUAUAUAUAUAUACUGUGACCAGUUUGUAUAUAGGUAAAUAUAUAGAACCCAGAAUUUGUCUGUGCAAAGACAUCAAACAUUCAGCAUUGUAUUUUGAUUACCAAGGCAACAGCCAAUCGCCAGCACUGUUUCAUUUACUGUUGUUGAAACAUGUAUCUUUAGAAGUAUAUUCCCAUUUCAUGCAAAUGUAAACCAUUCCUUGCAUAUGAUGUAUAAAACUAUAUAUUCAAAGAAAAAGAUUCAUGUUUUGCCCAUGUCAAUGAACUUCUUUACAUAAUUUUAAUACAUGUAUCUAUUACAUUUUCUCUAUCAUUUUAUUCUAAUGCAGAAGUGCAUAAAUUACAACCACAGGGUACUUUCAUUUAAAAUGCAUUCUUGUUUAAGAUAAACUAUAAUUGUAUGAUACCCAAGACAUAUUGUAAGUUGGAGCAAAGGAAAAUAAUUCACUGUAUCCUUAGAGUUUUGGUCAGUGCACCUCUUAUUUGAUUGGAGGCUCAAACAUUAUCUUGAGAUGGCCUGCUUUUUGUGAUUUGUCUUAGUCGGUGACAUUAUUCUGGGAAACAUUUUGUACCAACACCAACAAUUUACUAAUUCGAUUUGUUUUUUUUUUAAACUAUUACUUCAAAUGUUGACAAUAAAGCUAUGCAGAUAUGCAGU